rnacentral:tRNA from 1 species
GGGGAUGUAGCUCAGUGGUAGAGCGCAUGCUUUGCAUGUGUGAGGCCCUGGGUUCAAUCCCCGGCAUCUCCA